GGAGUGGACAAGUGUACAGUGGUGGGUUUUAGCUAUGGUGGUAUGGUGGCAUUUAAGAUGGCUGAGUUAUACCCUGAGUUGGUUCAAGCCAUGGUGGUGUCUGGGUCGAUUUUGGCCAUGACUGACUCGAUCAGCAACACGACGUUGAGUAGUCUUGGGUUCAAAUCUUCCUCAGAGCUUUUGUUGCCUACUUCUGUUAAGGGUCUUAAAGCUCUACUUUCAGUUGCUGCUUACAAGAAGCUCUGGUUCCCAAAUCGCCUUCACAAGGACUUCCUUGAGGUUUCUUUUCUUUUACUUUUAAGAAAUCUAUUUUCCAUUGGUUAAUUAAUUAAUUGCUAAAAAACAUAAGUUAAUAAUCUAAUAGUACAAAAUUAAUAUUUUCUAAAAUAUUUAAAGGAAAAAAAAACCUUAUAAAGAAUAAUUUAUUGCAAUAGUUAUUAUUCUUAAUUUUUUAAAUUUUUUUAAUAAAUAAAAUAUAUAUACCCACAAAUUAACCAUAGGAAUGGACUAUUGUUGAAACCAUAGUAAUUUUAAUAAAGUUCCACUCUACAUGGGAUGUGAAUAACCUUUCUAAUUUUGUUUACCUUUGACAUAUUAGGCUUUGUUAUUGAUAUUUUCCUCUGCCGGUAAAUAAUACCUUAGCAAACUCAUUAUUUGUAAUUAGGGAAAGAAAUCAUCACUGAUGCAUAUAUAGGAAUGACAAUGAAAUGAAUUUAUUAUUAUUUGGACUUUCUUUUGUAAUAAGAGUGUAAUCCAAGAAAUAAAUUAAGUAUAUGCAUGAUGAUAAGAAUGGAUAUUUCAAUUUCAAAUUAAGUUUUUAUAUUAAUAUAAAAUAAUAUUUUACUAUUUUACAUUUUUAAUACUCAGUAUCAAUGGACUAUGGAUGGAACAUUUAUUUUUUAACAGAAAAUGAUUUAAUUGACUUUGUUUUUAAUCAAGCCUCUCAAUAAAAAAUUUGUAAAAAAAAAAAAUUCACAGUUUUUCUGGGUGGAGUGGAUGAAACCCUAAACCGUUUUGGGUUUAAGCUGACAGUAAUUAAAUAUAUUAGUACUAACCCAAAAAUAAUCCGACAAGUGAGCAAUAUAAUUGAGCAAAUAAAUCAACGUCCUAAUCAGAAAUUAAGAAUCUUAGUCUACUUUGCAUAGGGUAGAGGAACAUUCACGAAGAAAAGAAUGAAAAGACGAUCUCACCACACCACCACUCAAUCCAAUUAUACCUAAAUACUGCGCACGCACACUUCCCUUAUUCGCAUAAAUGUAUACUGACUAAUAAAAAAAAAAAUAAUUCUAUUCAUAUACAUCAAAUUUAUUAACGAAUUUAAUAUAAUAAAAAAACUUUGAUUUGUUAAUAAAUUAUUUAAUUUUAUUUUAUUUAAAAAAUAUGGUAAGAUUACUAUUUUUUUUUAUGUAUAUAUAAAUAAUUACCCAUUUGCGUGAUUAUCAUGUAAAAUAUAAUGGGAGCUACAAAAAUUUAGAAAUAGUGAUUUUAUUAAUAUCAAAAUCACAGAAAAUGAGACACUUGACAAGUGGGGGAUUUGAAAGGCCAAUAUGGAGAAAAUAGCAUUAAAUAAAAAAGUGAUAUUAAAUUCUGCAUCCAACUGAAAACUGCAAAUCUGUUGAACAAAUUUGAUGAACAUUUACGUGAUUUCUUCCUACUUAAAAAAAAAAAAAUUAUCAUUUAAUUUAUUAUUUCCUAAACUAAUUGGAAAAUUACAGGUCAUGUUUGCCAACAGGAAAGAGAGAGCUGAGCUCCUAGAGGGAUUAAUAAUCAGCAACAAAGACCCCACCAUCCUCAGAUUUUCUCAAGUAAUAUAGAAUUUUUCAUUGCUAUUUCAAGGCAUCUGUCCGCAGCUUUUAAUCAUUCAUUUGCUACAUAAUCUUGCAGAAGAUACUUCUCCUAUGGGGUGAGAAUGACCAAAUAUUCAAGAUCGAACUCGCACAGAACAUGAAUGAGUAUGCUUCUCACUGCUUUCUAAUUAACCUGUCAAUUCCUAUGUUCAGCCACAAAUCUAGACCACUAAUUGGAAUGUUUGGUGGAUUAGAAAUCAGGAUAAAUUAUUUAACACCCUCUGAAAUUUUUCUGCAAUAUAAUGUAUGAUCCUUGCAAUUUUAGAAUUAGAAAUUUUAUUAAUCUGAGAAAAAUAUAAAUUUUAAAGAACUAAGUGUAUAAUUUACGAACUAAACUAUAAUUAUAUUUAAAAAUUUUAGUGAUUAAAAUGUAACCCACAUGAGUUUUAUGGCGGACAUUUAAUACCAUGCAAUAAUCCCUAUUGUGUACGUUAUCCGGAUAAGUUGAUUUAAAUGAUCAAAACACAAAGCUCAAGCACAGAGGUCCACAGACAGGAUGGUCUUAGACCAUAUCCAUAUUAAAGCAUACUUCCAAGUACUGAAAUGAAUUGAAUACAGGCAACUGGGAGAAAAUGCAGCAUUUCAGGGCAUAAAGAAGGCAGGUCACUUGGUUCACCUAGAACGACCAUGCGUCUACAAUCGUCAUCUCAAGCGAUUCCUUGCUUCCCUGCAAGGUGUUGAACUACAGAAGUGAAAAUCUGCCUUGCAUCUGUCAACAUACCCUCCUUUUAUUUGCACUCUGCAACAUCUUUGCCGCCAGAAAAAACACUAUUAAAUGUAUUGAAUUUCUUUAUUUUUGUUUUUUUCUCCUUUGAGCAUAUAACAAAUCAAGAGUUAAAAGAAUGGAACAACACAUGAUCCAAGGCGAGUUCAUAAACACAACUGAGUCAAUUUGCGUCAAUAAAUGAUUUAGUUGAAAGCAGAUCACACAAGCUUGUAUAAACACUUCUAUCUGAAGGAUGAUUGUAUUUCUUCCAGAGUUCUUCCUUUGGUUUCAGGGACCCAUAAAGUCACAAAAACAACAGUAAAAGCAGUCACCACCGUGUAAAUAGUAAAAGUUCCUCCACUAUUCCAACUCAACAGCAAGUUUGCAGUCAUUGUGACCACCCAGGACGUCAGCCAAUUUGCCAAGGUUGCUACACUGCCGGCAAGGCCCUUAAUAUUCACUGGGAGUAUCUCAGACAUUAUAAGCCAAGGAAUAGCUCCAAGCCCAAGGGAGAAGAAAAUUACCAUAGCCACAAGCCCCACAAGUGACAGGAUUCCCACAAUGCUAUAUAAAUGUGAAUCGUUUGAAACAAUGCCCUCUAAAUAAAAGGCAACUGCAACAAGAAGCAAGCUAACAGUCAUUCCAGAUGUAGAUAUAAUAAGAAGAAUCCUACGCCCAGCUUUAUCCACCAACCAUGUGGUGACACAAGUGGCAAGAACCUAUAAAAAAUAAUCUCUUCUCAUUUGAUGAAUUGGGCAGGACCCAUAAUUUUUCCUCCCCUCUCUCUAUCUAACAAUUUCCCUUCUUUCUAUUGGUACCAUGAGGCUACACCAACUCUUAUGCGAAUGAUCAAGGCAAAAGAAGAACCAUAACAUUGAGUAUACCACCGGACUUAUUACCUGAAUGAUCCCAACUCCAACAGUAGCAAGAUUACUUGAAUUAAGCCCAGCACUUUCAAAGAUGUUACUGGAAUAGAAUAAAACCCCAUUGAUGCCACUGAGCUGCUGGAGCAUAAGUAAUCCAAUUCCUACCAUCAAAGGGAACCAAUAUCUUCUCCGCCUGAGAUCUGCAAACCGUAUUGUUGUUCUUUUGUUUGAUGAUGCUACGGAUCUCUUGAUUUCAUUCACUUCAGCAGAAAUGUCUACAUCAAAUCCCCGUAAGACUUGCAAAGAUGUUUCAAAAUCUUCUGUCAUCCCCAUUUUGGCCAGCCAUCGAGGAGACUCAGGUAUGAAAAACAAGCCAGGUAUUAAUAAUGUGCAAGGCAACAUUCCUAAAACUGCAAGCAGCCUCCAAUUUACAAAAAGUCCUAAUACGUAAGCUAGCAUGAUUCCAAGAGUAACCGAAAGCUGGUUAACAGAUCCAAGGCCUCCUCUCAAGUUCUGGGGCGAUAUCUCGGCUAUAUAUACUGGCACAGUGUAUGAGAUUAUACCAACACCAAACCCUUCCAACAACCUUCCCAUGAAUAAAAAAGAUGAAUCUUUUGCAAAUGAUAUGCAUAACCAACCAAUUAUAUUAGGGAUCGCGGCAAUCAUCAGCGACCCCUUGCGGCCAAUGUACUCAGAAAUCUGACCACUAGCAAUAGCUCCAACCAUAGCGCCAACAUUGGAUAAAGAUCCAAACAGAGAGAACUCUGAAAUAGAGAGCUUGAGAUCGCUGAUGAUUUCCGCUUGCGUAGGCGAAGAAUACCCACAGGUGAAUCCGAAUUGGAUAGGACCCAAAGCAACGAUAAGGACGCAGAAGACGACGGAGACAGCGCCAUCGCGGAUAAACUGGGUAGAGGAGCCCAUCAUGCUGGACUGCCUGGAGCUCAUUCUAUACCAACUACCCGUGUGGAGGAACGGUUUCCUAAGUCCAUCCUCAGUCUCCUCCCUGGAGCUCAUGGUGCUGUUUUAGUUUACUCAAUGAUUUUCUCUUAGGCAAAAUUAUCAAACAAGAUUGCUUGAAAUACAACUCUUCGAGGUUUUUUACCCAGAGAGGCAAGUUUCAGAGAUUGAUUUCCGAGAAGGAAACGGUGGCCGC
rnacentral:misc_RNA from 1 species